GUAUGAGUGUAUGUGUGAGUGUGAGCACGAGAGAGAUUUUAAUGUGUGUGCGAGUGUGCAUUCGUGUUGGUGUUUUAGUGCGGCUUAAGUGCUAGCAAAACGACACUAAGAUAAAUGUACGUGAUACACAGCCACGGACACGAAGCACUCACACAACCACUCGGAAAAAUCCAUAAGCAUUUGCACAACACAACCGAGGGAAAAUACAUUUGUCUAUCAUUAGGUAUCACCUUGUGCAAUCCUUAAAAAUAACAAAAGCGCAUGUUUUUCUUUUUGGACAAGCCAAAUACUUUUAAAAGCCGCAUGUUUUUCUUACUUAUGGGCUGGUAAUAUGGACAAGUAUAAAUUGAUUUGGCCAUGGUACAUAAUAAUGCUGCUCUGUGCUGGUGUCAUUCAAUUACUUGUAGACAUCUGAAGUUGAGGGAAUUAUUUAGUUUUACCAUAUCAAGAUUUUCUGCUAGUGCUUGUAAACCUGAUGUGCACUCGGCCAAAGUGGAUUUUUGCCACCGUCUAGAAGUCGUAGAAGAGACCCAAAAUCUCAACCCCUCGGAAAAUCUUGUACUUGCUUCUGGUGAGCUGUUUCUAAUGCGUUCCAUUCGCUUGCUGGCUGUCAGGCUGCGUUGCUGCUGCUGUCAUUUUCUAUUUUCUAUUUUCCAUUUUCCAUUCGAAUUUGUUUAGCCUCGGCCCGCUCUCAAACGCAAGGGCCCUUCGGCUUCGCCUUACCAUAAUAUCCCAGUCAUGCGGAUGCCACCGCCCUCGGCCCCUCGGCCAUAAUUCGAUUUAUGUAAAACUCUUGUAGUCUUGUAGUCCUGCAGUCCUGCGACUGCUGCAAUUUGCUGCCAGUGCUCAAGAGCUGCUUGUGUCCGAAUGCAAUUGCCAAAAGGUGUGAGGCCCAGGCUCUCAGGCGGCUCCUCCUGCUGAUUCCAUAAAGAAUGCCGUAUCGGGGGAAUUGAACGGAGCUGAACUCGGUCGAACACCUCGGGUAGGACUGUGCUCCACAUCGGCAAAUCCAUCCCCGAAAUCUCUGGGUGGCAGCCCUUACAGCUUACAGCAAGGACACCCACAGGACCCGAAGGACACGCAAUAACAUCGAAGCCCCAAUGUCGGAGUCUGAGUCAGAGUCGUUUGCAUUGAUACGAUCAUAAGCAUAAAGCGAGCACACACAUAUAUCGAUAUCAAUAAAAGGGGAAACGCUGGGGGAAAUCACGGAAAUUCUGCUACGGCACACAUAACCCCUAACCCCCAACGACCCUCUCAGAUGGUUUGACAUUUAUUUGCUUUAUUUCGAUGAUUUUACAUGACGCAAAUUUAUGCACAAAUGCAGAUAGUACCACGACCUGAACCCAACCAACUACGUCAAAAAGAACAAAAAACUGGUGAAAAAAUAAGGGGAAAUGGAAAAGGAAAGGGAUGAUUGCAGCUGCUGCACUCACAGGGUGACAGAAAACAUGUGCACUCGCAAAGUACAUAUUCUCGCAUUCACCUGAAUAAAAAAUGGUGCGGCACUGUUUCCAGAUUUAAA